UCAUCCUACACAAGAGCACUGCUUCUCACAGGACUGCCUCAGCCUGGCAGGAUUCAGUCUCCUGCUCUGAGGGAAAAACAGGAAGUCAAGGAUCAAGACCGAGUGCUCAACUGAGAUCAGAAAGGAGGACACACAGUGACUUGGCCAAAUCACUGGAGAUUCACACAGCAGAGCUCAGACGAGUGCUAUCAGCACAGCUGAGGAAGACAACAGUUAGGGUGCAAGGAUCCUGAAAGAGAAACAUUGGUUGUGUUUUUAUUCCUUGGGUAUAAGAAUCCUGAAAGAGAAAGGCAUCUGAACCUUGGAGGCAUGGGGUUCAUCUCAUCCUCAUCCAGCCUGUGAUGAUGGAGCUGUUUUCACCAGAAACAACUAUUUGUUGGAGUGCCAGAUUAUUUAAGGGCCUUUGCAUGUUUCAAGUCCUCUUCUUAAAGUAAGAAUACUCUCCACAUUUAUAACAGCAACAAAAACACCAAUGUCAGCACAAAAUGCAAAAACGGAGGCACUUCUAUGUCAUAAUGAUACAUCAGAGUUCUGCUCAACUCUUUUUUAGAAAAAGAAGCUCAGACUUACACACAUCCACUUUCUUAAAUAAAUAAUUGUUCAAUGAAAG
rnacentral:lncRNA from 1 species